CACUACGUCACUCUGACCAUGCCCUCACAAGCCUAGUCAGGCACACCUGUAGCCAGCCCCUAAGAAGGCAUGGCUACAGCUUUCCCUACAAUGAUGGAACUGGACAAUAAGCCCUUGAGUUUGUAAGUCGUUAGAUUGUAUCACUGUGUCUAGAGAACAUUUUUUUUUAUCAUGGCUCUGGAUGUAGUGAUGUUUCUAAAAGCCAUGUGGAAGGGUGGCUGUCUUUACUUCUGGGCCUGCACUGGUGACAUUCUGCUGUGGACCUUAAUGCUCUGGCUUCUGGAGAUACAGCUUGAUACCAUGUCAAGAUCACUAUUUUAAGGAUGUCCUAGACUACUUCACUCACAGUCUGGAAGACUUUGUUCACAGCCCUGCACUGUUCAAAAUCUGCACACUUGGAGAAGACAGUGCAGUGGAAGUUCUAGGGUAAUAUUAUGGUAGACUAAUAAACUUUACUGGAGAUGACUUUCAGUUUUACUCUUCUUUAGAAAAUUGUAUAAAGAGUUUUAAACUAUUCAUUCCGCAAACAUUAGAGCCUUCAUCCAGUGACUGAUGGAAGCAGAGGCAGACACCCACAGCUAAACACUGAACUGAACUCCUGGAACCCAGUUGCAAAAAGGGAGGAGUGAUAAGCAAAGGGGUCAAGACUGGAGUGGAGUGGUGAAACUCACAGAAACAGCUGACUUGAACAAGGGGGAGCUCAUGGACUCCAGACUGAUAGCUGAGAGACCAGCAUGGAACUGAUCCAGAUCCUCUGAAUGUGGGUGUCAGUGAGGAGGCCUCAGAAAUCUAAGGGUCCUCAGGUAGUAGAUAGGUAUUUAUCCCUGGCACAUGAAUGGACUUUGGGAACCCAUUCCACAUAGAUGGAUGCUCUCAGUCUGGACACAUGGGGAGGGCCUAGGCCCUGCCUGGGAUGAUAUGACAGACUUUGGAGAUCCCCCAGAGAAGGAAAGGAAAUUCCUACUCAAGAGCUGCCAUCUCUGUUACUAGGAGAAACAGAACAUUUUUAUCUUCAGGUCCAGAGAGCUGAGUGUCAGAGUCUUCCUUCAAGAGAACACGUUUGAACUGUUCCCAAUUGUCUUUCACCCCCUCAUUUAUUUAAAUUUUGCAAAAUUACUUGAUUUUUCUUUUUAUGUAGUAUAAAAGCACUUAGGUUUUAUCAACACUUGGGGCUUCAUUUUCCUAUGGGGACUCCCAGAUUGUAACAAUCUGUGUGCUUUUAUAUUUCUUUCUUUCUGCUAAUCUGUUUAAAGCCUAAUUAAUUCUCAAGCCCAGCUGGAGAUCAUAGAGGUAAAGAGUUUCUCAUCCAUGGUGCCUCUGAAUUAUAAGUUUUAAAUCUUAAAUUGAAUAGAGUAAUGUGAGAGACCAGUAAAGAGACUGAGAGGUACUAACGACUUACCGUGAUAAUGACUUUUUUGAUAUACAGGAGAUACAUAAUCCAUGAAAGAGAUAAUGAAAAAAAGAGACUGGUCUUCAUUAGCAUUAAAAGUAGUUUGCUCUGUAAGGAUAAUGAGAAGAGAAGGAGAAAGAAGCUACAUACUACAAAAAAAUAUCUACUGUAAUCUUUAUCUGACAAAUGACUAUUCAACACACAAAAUUAUUAAAACUCAAUAACAAGACUAGAGAAAACUUAAAAUAAAUAGAGCAAAGAUCUCAACUGACACAUCACCAAAAAGCUAAAAAUAUAAAAAUUAGCAUGUGAAAAGAACUUUUCUAUCAAAUGUUAUUAUUAAGUUGCAAAUUAAAAUGAAAUCUCACCAUCUCUUUUUUUGUAUGUCCCACAUUUGGAACACUGACAGUACCAAAUGCUGGUCAAGACCCAGAACAAAGAAACCUUCUGUUGUGGGUUACAAAGCGCACAGUAUCCUUAAUGCUUUCUCUGGACACUAAUUACAUACAUACAACAAGAUCAAGCAAUUCCAGUCCUUCAUGUUGGUAUAAAGGACUUAAGAAUAUUCCCACAAGAACCUGCACACUGGUACCUAUAGUGAAAUUACUCAGACUCAUGAAAAUGGGUCUACAAGCAAAAUGAGGAGUAACAGACUGCAGUAUAUAUUUUUGAAAAGAUAUGAGCUGUCAAGCCAUGAACAGACAUGAAGAGACCUGUGAAGGAAAAUAAUCUGUAAGGCUACAUAGUUUAUGGUUCAAACCAUAUGGCCUUGUGGAAAAGUAAAAACUUCAGGGAUAGUAAAAUGGUCAAAACUUGCCAAUUGUUGAGGAAGAUAGAUGCAUAGGCAGGUCACAAAGGAUUCUCAAGUUAGUGACAGUAAUUUGAAUGACACAAUUACCAAGGGUAGAUGCCAGGUAUAUAUUUGUCCAAGUCCAUACAAUAUAUAAUAUAAAUAUGGGACAUUAUAUAUACUGAAUAGUUUGUACUUUGUAUUCAGGAAUUGUAUGUAUGUAUGUGUGUAUGUAUGUAUGUAUGUAUGCAUGUAUUAUGUAAUAAAAGCAAUGAUAGAGGGGACAUGAAUUUUAAAGAGAGCAAGGAGAAUUAUAUGCAGGGGUUUACAUGGAGGAAAAAGAAGAGAAAUGAUGAAAUUACAUCAUAAUCUCAAUAAAUAAAGAAAUAAAAGACUGGACCCUGAGGUGAACUCAGUCUUUGGGGCACUAGAUGUGUCUGUGUAGGUUGAUCAGUUGUAACAAGUGUUUCCUCUUAGCAGUGGAUGUGGAAAUCAGUAAAGAUGUUAAAGCAGAGAAUAAGUGCAAAUUCUCUUUACCUUUUGUAAUUUUCUGUGUACCUAAAGCUCAUCUAAAAACAUAUAGGCUUAAAUGUGACAAAAUAACAAAAGGCAAAAUGUGAAACAAUACAUCUUUGUAUUUCUUUAUCCUCUCAUGUGUAGAUUUGUCAGAGAGGAGAGAGAGAGCUGGAGAAGGGAGUGGGAACCAAGUGAUUUGUUAAUUAUAUUCACAAUAUUCUUCUUACAAACAACUAUGGUUAUCUUCUAUAAGUUUUGCUUACUUAUGUCAUUUACACAAAGAAUACAUUUGCAUAUACUUUAAUUUCAGAGCAGCAUGUUUAUCUAUGAUUAUCUUAUUUGGCCAUGCAUUUCCAUUAUAUGGCCUGUGGAUUCAUGAUUUGGGACUUUGUUCUGAUAGUUAUCAAAGCUCUUCCAUGGACUUCAUCUGAGCUACUCAAUUUAUUCCUCUAAUAAAAUCUGUGAAAAAUACAAUAAAGCAUAAGGGAGGGGUGUGAGAAAGGCAGAUGGCAUGGAUGAGGUCUCAUUUUUCUGACAAAGACUAUAACAAGGAUGGAAAAUGAUGCACUGCAAAUCCAUUGUAGUGACAAAGAUGGUAAUGAGAAUUGGUAUGAAUAUAAGCGACUGUAUUCUCAUUACCCUCGCAGAUUGUAAUCGUUUCUCAGAGCUGUGCCUAUUCCCCUCUCACUGAUGAGUCUUCCACAUAUUACCUUUUAGUUUGCCUUUUAAAGACUUUUGAUAAAUUGGUCAUUAGUAAAAUCAACUAUUAAAAACAUUUCAGAAUUUAUACUGGAGCUUUAAUUCCAAUGACUGGUUAAAAUAGAUUUUUUAUUUGCUAGUGUAAAGUGAUAUCAGUUGGUACUCUAAUAAAUUACAAUGCUUUCAUAAAAAUCUACCCUGUUACUCUGCAUACAAAGCUUUGUGAUUCUAAUGUCUGUAGUGCAAUACAGGACAGGAAGUUUGAUGAAGCAAAAAGAGGAGUUGAUAAGAAGCAAGAUUUCAGUAGUUUUAAUCUCCAUGGUGAUGGACAUUUGAUUAUCAUAGUAACAUGUGGGUACAUAAAAUGGAAACCUUUAGAUUUUAAGUGAAAUUGUGAACACAAUUUGAAGAUUUGACUUUGAUAUUAAUAUAUGCCACUAGCAAUUGUAAAAUACAAUGGAAAUGUACCAGUGUUAAUCCCUAUAAAAUGUGACUGAAAGUGAAUGUUCUACCCAAAUACUUAUACAUUUUGUAAUAAACUAUUGAUAGAUUUAAAGAGCCAAAUAGUGAUAGCAAUAAAUACCUCACAAAUAGUCACCAAGUUUGUUUUUAACAAUACAAUAUUAUGACAUGGUCUGGUCAAAAUUGAACAGAUUAUAUAUUGAGCAAAAUUAUCCCAAUUGUCUAAGUUAACAGGGUGAGCCAAGAAGAGCAAAGUGAUGAUCACUCUAAAUGUAGAUAAUUAGAAUUGUGACAUUUUCCACCUGUAAAUAAAGUGAUAUCUUUCCUCAGUUUUGUGCUUACAAUGAAACAUAAUAAAAAUCAGCCAGCUAUAAUAAUAUCAAGAGAAUAAAAUAUCACAAAAAUGAGAUGCUCUAUAAAACUUUUUAAGCUGUCAUUUAGGGGUACAAUGCAA
rnacentral:lncRNA from 1 species